rnacentral:rRNA from 1 species
UACGAAGGGGGCGAGCGUUGUUCGGAGUUACUGGGCGUAAAGGGCGCGUAGGCGGCGAUCCAAGUUAGGCGUGAAAGCCCCGGACUUAACCUGGGAAUUGCGCUUAAGACUGGACUGCUUGAGUGCGGGAGAGGUGAGUGGAAUUCCCAGUGUAGAGGCGAAAUUCGUAGAUAUUGGGAAGAACACCAGUGGCGAAGGCGGCUCACUGGCCCGCAACUGACGCUGAGGCGCGAAAGCGUGGGGAGCAAACAGG